rnacentral:rRNA from 1 species
UACGUAGGGGGCAAGCGUUGUCCGGAUUUAUUGGGCGUAAAGAGCUCGUAGGCGGUUUGUCGCGUCUGCUGUGAAAACCUAAGGCUCAACCUUGGGCUUGCAGUGGGUACGGGCAGACUAGAGUGCGGUAGGGGUGACUGGAAUUCCUGGUGUAGCGGUGGAAUGCGCAGAUAUCAGGAGGAACACCGAUGGCGAAGGCAGGUCACUGGGCCGGCAACUGACGC